rnacentral:lncRNA from 1 species
GAGACUAUUACCAGAGCUGAAGCACUGUUCUUUUUCUUAGUUACAGGUGGAGGACAACCUGGUAAACAACUAUUUUCACUCUUGCACAUAAUCAUAUAAAGUGGUGAACUACCACCGUAUUAUAAAUAACUUGUCAGAUGUUGGGACAGAAACACCUGGAUGUUUAAGAACUAUACUUUUGUACCUAGAGCUUACAACCAACACUAACUGGUUAAGUAUACUACUUGGAUUUUAGCUUUCAUUAAGUCUAGCAUCAACAACUCAAAAACUAAGUACAGAAUUACAUUUCUCUAAACUGGGAGCAAUGGACUGUAAGACACGAGUCUUGAAGAAAUGCUGGGAAGUUUGUAUUUUCAUUUCAGUAAUAUAUUUUUUAAAAAGUAUAUUCUGGAUUACCACCAUCAGUAGUACCAGAAUUAGAGUGGGCUAAAGAAAAAGGUAUAUGACGAUCUUACAAGCUAAAUGACAUAUUUAAGCCACGUGGAAGUCAAACCACCUAACCGGUGAUUUAAGGAGCAAAGUUCUGUGACACUC